GCCCCUAUAGCCUAAUUGGAUAAGGCGUCAGACUUCUAAUCUGAAGAUUCUGGGUUCGACCCCCAGUAGGGGCU